rnacentral:rRNA from 1 species
GGCAGACGGGUGAGUAACGCGUGGGAACGUACCUUUUGGUUCGGAACAACUGAGGGAAACUUCAGCUAAUACCGGAUAAGCCCUUACGGGGAAAGAUUUAUCGCCGAAAGAUCGGCCCGCGUCUGAUUAGCUAGUUGGUGAGGUAAUGGCUCACCAAGGCGACGAUCAGUAGCUGGUCUGAGAGGAUGAUCAGCCACAUUGGGACUGAGACACGGCCCAAACUCCUACGGGAGGCAGCAGUGGGGAAUAUUGGACAAUGGGCGCAAGCCUGAUCCAGCCAUGCCGCGUGAGUGAUGAAGGCCCUAGGGUUGUAAAGCUCUUUUGUGCGGGAAGAUAAUGACGGUACCGCAAGAAUAAGCCCCGGCUAACUUCGUGCCAGCAGCCGCGGUAAUACGAAGGGGGCUAGCGUUGCUCGGAAUCACUGGGCGUAAAGGGUGCGUAGGCGGGUCUUUAAGUCAGGGGUGAAAUCCUGGAGCUCAACUCCAGAACUGCCCUUGAUACU